rnacentral:rRNA from 1 species
UACGUAGGGUGCAAGCGUUGUCCGGAAUUAUUGGGCGUAAAGAGCUCGUAGGCGGUCUGUCACGUCGGCUGUGAAAACCCGAGGCUCAACCUCGGGCCUGCAGUCGAUACGGGCAGACUAGAGCUCGGUAGGGGAGACUGGAAUUCCUGGUGUAGCGGUGAAAUGCGCAGAUAUCAGGAGGAACACCGGUGGCGAAGGCGGGUCUCUGGGCCGAAACUGACGCUGAGGAGCGAAAGCGUGGGGAGCGAACAGG